rnacentral:rRNA from 1 species
GAGUUUGAUCCUGGCUCAGAACGAACGCUGGCGGCGUGCUUAACACAUGCAAGUCGAACGUGAUCCAGAGCUUGCUCUGGUGAAAGUGGCGCACGGGUGAGUAACGCGUGGAUAACCUGCCCUGGUAUCUGGGAUAACAUCUCGAAAGGGGUGCUAAUACCGGAUAAGCCUACGGACUCUUCGGAGUCUGCAGGAAAAGGUGGCCUCUAUUUAUAAGCUACCGUAUCAGGAUGAGUCCGCGUACCAUUAGCUAGUUGGUGGGGUAAUGGCCUACCMAGGCGACGAUGGUUAGCUGGUCUGAGAGGAUGAUCAGCCACACUGGAACUGAGACACGGUCCAGACUCCUACGGGAGGCAGCAGUGGGGAAUUUUGCGCAAUGGGGGAAACCCUGACGCAGCAACGCCGCGUGAGUGAUGAAGGCUUUCGGGUCGUAAAGCUCUGUCAGAGGGGAAGAAAUGAGUCUGGCUAAUAUCCAGAUUUCUUGACGGUACCCUCAAAGGAAGCACCGGCUAACUCCGUGCCAGCAGCCGCGGUAAUAC